rnacentral:rRNA from 1 species
GGCGAACGCUGGCGGCGUGCUUAACACAUGCAAGUCGAACGGUGAAGCGCCUUCCUUUUUGGUGGGUGUGGAUGAGUGGCGAACGGGUGAGUAACACGUGAGUAACCUGCCCCCUUCUUCUGGAUAACCGCAUGAAAGUGUGGCUAAUACGGGAUAUUCUGGGUCUGUCGCAUGAUGGGUCUGGGAAAGAUAUUGUUUCGGUGGGGGAUGGGCUCGCGGCCUAUCAGCUUGUUGGUGGGGUGAUGGCCUACCAAGGCGGUGACGGGUAGCCGGCCUGAGAGGGUGGACGGUCACACUGGGACUGAGACACGGCCCAGACUCCUACGGGAGGCAGCAGUGGGGAAUAUUGCACAAUGGGCGCAAGCCUGAUGCAGCGACGCCGCGUGAGGGAUGGAGGCCUUCGGGUUGUGAACCUCUUUCGCCAGUGAAGCAGGCCUGCCUCGUUUGUGGGUGGGUUGACGGUAGCUGGAUAAGAAGCGCCGGCCAACUACGUG